CCCUUAGACGGUCUGGGCCGCACGCGCGCUACACUGACCAGUGCAACAAGCAUCCGUCCUUGGCCGACAGGCCCGGGCAAUCUUUGAACGCUGGUCGUGAUGGGGAUAGACUUUUGCAAUUUUUGGUCUUCAACGAGGAAUUCCUAGUAAACGCAAGUCAUCAACUUGCAUUGAUUACGUCCCUGCCCUUUGUACACACCGCCCGUCGCACCUACCGAUUGAAUGGUCCGGUGAAGCCUCCGGAUUGGCGCGCACCUCGGUGCCGCCGAGAAGUUGGCUAAACCUUACCAUUUAGAGGAAGGUGAAGUCGUANCA
rnacentral:rRNA from 1 species